ensembl:misc_RNA predicted gene, 27337
GAGAUAGAUGUCCAUGGCCAGCUCACUGGUCUUGUUAAGAAGGCUCGUCAUAAAGAUGGAGAUGAUAAG